CAUACUUGGCUGGUUUUGUUAUUCAUUGUCAUCAACUUCUGUAAAAAAAAAGAAAGUCAAAUGCUGCUUCCCUCGGUGCUCCUUUGCAGAUUAUUUAUUAAAUACCUGAAUCAAAACAAUGUUUUUCUGUAUGAUGCACAUUUUUGUGUUGACGGGGCCAUCCUCUGUUGUCUUGGGCUCCUGUAACGGCAAAGAGAGUUCUUCAUUACGCAUGGAAAAGUCCAGCUGGAUUGUUAAACCUGUAUGUUGAUCUAGCACACAGAGGAAUAACAGGGUGCAGUGUGUCUGUACGGAGUGGUUAAGGAUGUUAGAAGACGUUUAGGUGGAAUCUGUAGUGAUACAUCUUUGUUGACUUACAAACAAUCAGUCAUUUGAAAAGACAUUGGAAAUCUCUACUGUCUCUAAACAAUGUUAGAGACAGUAGUGGUUAAAAAAGACAAACGAGGAGACGACGUAAGUGACGUAUAAUCACCAAAAUGUGAAUUGAAGCCACUACGAGUAACUUGAUUUUGGCGGUCCCUGUGGACAAAAGCAGUAGUGUUUCCGAACACCAAAGUCCCUUUAGAAAACCUCUAAUUGUACUGCUGCUGGGUCUGACAGUCUGCCCCGUGAAGUCCUGGUUCUGGAUCUCCCGUGCCUCUCUUCCCUCCAGCAGGCCCAUUAAUACAGCCCGGGUCUCGAGCAGCGUGGUGUCUUUUGGCUUCCAGCGGGGACUGUCGGAGUAGCGAGGCGAUGCUCUGAGCCUGGCUGGAGGAGGAGAGUCGCUGCUGCAGGGCCCAGAGCUCCGUCUGCAGGUCUGGGUCUGUCCGUGGAGGGCUGGUCACUGCUGAAGGCCCUGCUGGAGUCUGAGCUGAAGGAGUUUUCUUCAAGGAGAAUAGCACUGCCAGCGUAGCGAUGGGAAAUGAUGGAUCAGAAAAGGGCACCGUGAAGGAGGUGGAGGAGCAAGAAUGCUAAGAAGAUAAUAAAAUAAUAUAAAAAUAAAGAGAGACACUGUCAAAGACUGAGUGAGAUAAGUCUGGAAAAAGGAUUAAGAGGAGUGGGGGGAGGAGGGUUGGGGGAGGGGUAUUCGAGGGAAAGCAAAAGAGAUAUGACGUGCCUGAGUCAGCUUCAGAGGACCAGCUAGACCAGAUGGGGAGCAGAAUAGAAAUGGAGAUGAAAGAGAUCGUCUCUGAUACCGAUAGACAGAGGAGAUGAAAGAAAAUUGUGCCUGGCAUUUGAUAAGCCUCAUUUAUAUCCCUGGCAAUUCAGUCCUACUUUCAGCUCUUCCAAUUACGAGAAGGAGUCAACCUGUUACAGGCUUAUCGACCGGCUCCACACCUGUCUCGCGGGUCUAAACCCAGUUAAACACGAGGGGUUUGUUCUGCAGUGUUCCCCCCCCCC